GGAAAUAAAACUGUUCCUGAUAAACAAUGGGAAUGUGUCUCAGGAUCAGGUCGAGGAUAAUGACCAGGAGAUCCGCCGCUGCCAUGGCCCCCAGACGGUGGUGUGCGUAUGGAAUGAGCUGCCAGAGGAAGUGGUGGAGGCUGGUACAACUAUAGCAUGUAAAAGGCAUCUGGAUCCUGACAGACCUGCCGAGCUUUUCCAGCAAUUUCUGUAUUUCUUUUAAAAACUGCAUUCAUUUUAACACAAGUAUUCUGAAUAAAUUAGACAUUUUUAUUUUUUAAUGAAGCAGGAACAUAAAAACAUAUCUUCAAAUCGACCAAGACCAUUUUCUGCUAAGGGUAUGGCUCUGUGUAUGACAGCAGCAAUGAUGCACCGACAUGGAACAGGGAAUGUGAUGGAGACAUCGUUUGGACAAUGUACAAGGUUCUGGACAAAGUUCUUUCAAGUUACAAUUGCAGAGAGAUUGUGUGUGUGUGUGUGUGUGUGUGUGUGUGUGUGUGUGUGUGUGUGUGUGUGUGUGUGUGUGUGUGUGUGUGUUAUAGAAAGGGAAAUAUUGAUUAUAUAUUUGCAAUACAAAAAUAGUUUGCCAUUCAUCUUUCCACCAUAGUUGGAGUAACAUUGCUCUGGAUCAUAAACGUGCUAUUUGAGCAGAUUAAAGAAACUAGCCUGACUUGUUCCUAAAACUGACCCUGACCCAGUCUGAAACCGGUAUCAUCGGCCACAUCACCGACCUGGUUACAUUUAACGUUUGUUGUGAGCAGUGGAGGAGUGGGACUAGAAAGGAAACAGUGACCCAAAAAGCCGGGUAACUCUAGACCGGUGAGCCAGAUGUCAGUGGUGGGUAAGUUGUUGGAAGGGAUUCUGAGGGAUAGGAUUUACAUACAUUUGGGAAGGUGAGGGCUGAUCGGGGUAGACAACAUAGCUUUCUGCAUGGGAAAUCAUGUCUCAUUAAUUUGGUUGCGAUUAUUGAAGAGAUGACAAAGAUUGAUGAGGGCAGUUUGGUUGACAUUGUCUAUGUGGACUUCAGCAAGGUGUUCAUUUAAAUAACAAAGAACAAAGAAAAUUUCCAGCCCAGGAACAGGCCCUUCACCCUCCAAGCCUGAGCCGAUCCAAAUGUACUGUUUACAUCUGUCGGUCACUUCCUAACCAUCUGUAUCCCUCUGCUCCCCACCUACUCCUCUGCUCCCCAGCUACUCCUCUGCUCCCCACCUACUCAUGCAUCUGUCUAGACGCACCUUAAAUGAAUCUGUCGUGCCUGCCUCUACCACCUCUGCUAGCAAACCGUCCCAAACGCCCACCACCCUCUGUGUAAAGUACUUACUGUGUGUAUCCCCCUUAAACUGUCUACCUCUCACCCUGAAAGCACGACCUCUCGUUAUUGAAUCCUUCAUCCUGGGAAAAAGCUUGUCUCUGUCCACCCGAUCUAUAACCUUCAUGAUUUUGCAAACCUCAAACAGGUUCCCCCCCCCCCAUCUUCUUUUUUCUAGUGAAAAUAAACCUAACCUACUCAGCCUCUCUUCAUAGCUAAUAUUUCAUUCUGAUUGGUAGAGAGAUUAAUAAGUUUCAGUCACAUGGGAUACAGAGGAAGCUCGUCACAAUUGGCUUGAAGGAAGAGGGGUAUUUUUUAAAACUGGAGGCUUGUGAGCAGCAGUGUGCUGUAAGGAUCAGGACUGAGUUCACAACAUUUCAUCAUUUAUGUAAAGGAUUUAGAUGUGAAUAUCGGAGCCAUAGUUAGUAAGUUUACUGAUUACAUCAGAAAGGUGGUGUAGUAGAUUAUCUCAGAGUACAACAAGACCACAAUUGGAUGGUACAAAGGGGCAAGGAGUGACAGACGAAGUUUAAUUUAGAUAAAGACGACGUUUUGUAUGUUGUGAACGCAAAUCAGGGCAGAAGUCAUACAUUUAUGGUCAGGUCCUGGGGAGUGUUGAGAAACAAACGGACAUAGGGCUGCAGGUACAUUGUUCCUUGAAAGUGGAGUCUAAUGCAGACAGUGCGGUGCAGAACACAUUUGGCACAUUUGCCUUAAUCAGUCAGAGCAUUGAAUAUAGGAGUUGUGGUGGCAUGUUAUAUCUGUACAGGAUGUUGGUGAGGCCACUUUAAGAAUACUACAUACAACUCGGUUGUCUGCAGAAAUGACUUACACGGAUGUCCCAGGACUGGAGGUUUGAACUUUAGGGAGAGGUUGAUUAGGUUGAGAUGUUUCCCCCUGGAGUGUCAGAGGUUGAGGGGUCACACUAUAGAGGUUUAUAAAACCAGCAGGGGCAUGGAUAUUCUGAACAGCCACGCUCUGCUCCCCAGGGUAGGGGAGUCCAGAACAGGAGAGUAUAGGUUGGAGGGGAGAGGGGGAAUGAUUUAGAAGGGACUGAAGAUAAAUGUUUCACACACAGAGUGGUGUGUGUUCAGAAAUUGCUGUCAGAGGAAGUGGUGAAGGAGGUUACAAUCGCACAUUUAAAAAGUAUCUGAAAGACGAGGGAUAUCGGCCAAAUGCUGGCAAAUGGAACUGGAUCAGAUUUGAUAUCUAAUCGGAGUGAACAGGUUGGACUUACGGGUCUGUUCCCAUUCUGCAUGACGCUUUGAUUUUAUCAGAGGAACGACAAAUAAUUCUGAAUGGACCUUUCAAGUGAGAAUUCUCUUCACUGGAAGUUUAUCGUGCCUCUAUGUUCACAUUGAUUGAUAGCUGCAUUAGGUAAAUAUUUGACAGAGAACUGAGUCAUGGAUAAUGGGAUACAGACACGAAAGUGGGAUUGAGACCCCAACCUGAUCAGCUACAAUCUUAAUGUCUGGUGGAGAAUUUUCAAAGUAUCUAAUGACUCACUCCUGUCCCUCAAUCCCGUGUUCCUGUGUUCCAUUCAGCCCAUUAAACCUGUUAGGCAGGAGCAUUUAGAGGCUACUUACUUCUAUAACCUGGUGCACAGAAACAGAGGAGAUUAUUCGGCCCUUCAAGAUUGUCCCACACACUUUGAUGUGAUUUGAGAAAUGUAAUUGUAAAACCCGGGCUGGGUAUGAAAGAGGCCCCUCAUCUCUCUUCACAGAGCUUCCCCUCUCUGAAACUUGUGCUCCAUUUGUUGGUCAUGUUGUCGAUCAAAAUUCACUAUGAAUACAGCCCCCAUACCUCACCCAGCGAUGGCUCACAAAAUCCUCUGGUUUCCCUGACUGCAACAUUCAAUAACAGAACAUUCAUGAAAAUAACACACACUAACUUUCCAAUAGCAGAAUGUGAGAACAUCAGACACAGGGGCAGGUCGUUCACUCCCCAAGCCAGCCUUGCCCUUCACUAAGAUUGUGGCUGAUCUGUUCUCGGUCUGAAAUCCUCUUUCAUACCCAAUUCCUCAUCGCCCUCACCUCUCGGACUGGUCAAUAUCCAUCGACCUCCUCUACAAAUACAUUCAGUCAUCUGGCUCCCCGAACACACUUGAGAAGAGAAAUUCUGACAUUCAAUGCCACCUGUUUGGAGAAAACCCUUGCUGCUCCUAUACCAUGGCCUAUUGAUAUGAACAAAAGAGGUUGAAUCAAGGGGUCAGGUGAAAAUGACUGGCCCUGAUAUCAAGGCUUCUGUUGACAUCAAGGAGCUUAACAAAUCUGAAGUUAAUGGGAAUCAGAGUGAACUCUCCAGUGUUUGGAGUCAAACAUGACACAAAGGAAGAUGUUCAUCAUCUCAUUCCUGAAUCAGCUCUGUGGGAGAUCCUCAGGGAAGCUUCCUCUUCACAAACUUCUACAGCUGCUUCAUCAAUGUCUCCCCACCCCCACCCUCCCCACCAUAAGAUCUGAAGUGGGGUUGGUCACUGAAGAUUGCACUAUGUUCAAAACAUUUUGUCCUCCGUCAGCUCCUGAACUGGUCUGUGUCCAUGUGCAGGAAGACCAGACUCUAUUGAGGCUUAUGCUGUUAAAGUGUCAGUAACAUUCAUGUAACAGCACUGUCUGACACUGCACAUUGCCACAGUAAAACAAGAGGUCAUUCCACACCUCACUCUGGUUUCACAGGAAUAUGAGGAAAUCAUUCAGCCCAUUGACAUGAUUGGAGAAGAACAGGGACAGCCCAUUCAGUGCCUCCAGCCUAUUACUCAGGAAGAGAAGGAUUCCAGUGUGAUGGGCCAGACCAGAGCCCUUUGAAAAUAUUUGUAGGCGGUAGCCUAGAUUCUUACAUUUUGUUAUUUUAAAGGAAAUGUAAAGUGUCUGUUUCAGAUGCAAUGUGACAGGUCAAACAACUCGGUGGUGAGCAAAACACCAUUUAUUUAAACACGAAAGAUGAAAUAAAACCAAAGAAAGAGAAAUUUAGAAUAACAUAAUUCUAUUGGACAUCUUAACAGAAUAAUAGAACUAGGAGCUAUUACUAAUGAACUAGUCCAACAUAGGAAAUUCCAAUAACCACAAAAGGAAAAUGCAAGAAUAGAAAACAGCAUCUAGAGAAAAUUCAGAGAGAGUAGCAGCCAGGAGACAUUCUGUGAAACUUCCAACUCUGUGGAGACCCCUAUAAUUUUUGAUGUUACUGAGAAACAAAACCCAGUGAUCCUAAUCUGUGAGAGCUGGCCACACCCAUUCACUGCAUUAAAAUAAACCUAAGGCCUCCCUCGCUGUUUACUCAAGUGGUCUUAACUAGCCAGCUUCGUAACGAUCGUUCAAUAUCUCUCUUAAAAGAAACCAGGAUAAAAAAGCCUCUUAAACCUGCAGCAUCAUCACACUUGUCAACACAUCGAGCUGUCAUACAGGAACCAGGGGCAACAUAAUCAGGCCCUUCGCCCUGCCCAAUCGGACAAGGAAGAAGACAGUCAGUCCCUUGAGUCACUUACACAGGAUCAGGAGGAGGCCAUUCCCACCUCAAUGCACUUACACAGGGGCAGAAUGAGGUAAUUGAUGCUGAUUCCUGAUGAAUGAGUUAUGCCCAAAACGUCGGUUCUCCUGCUUCUCGGAUGCUGCCUGACCUGCUGUACGUUUCCAACAAUCGACUCUCUACUCUGAUCUCCAGUAUCGGCAGUCUGAGGUGUCUCCUAAUUGAUGCUCCAACAUGAUAAACAAUUGAAGCAGAGGCUGCAUAGACAGACUGCUCCACGUUGUUCCUCAUGGCUCUGUUGCUCAUGAUACACAUGUGGGACUUUAAUUUGGUUUUCUCGCGGUGAGGAGGGAAGCCAUAUGUGUGAAGUCUCAAGAAGGCACCUUCCAUCUCCGAGAAGCCAGCCUGGUGUUCUCUGUGUAGAGCGGAAGCUGAUGGGAAUGGCUACCUGUUUCAGACGGAAGGUAUUGUGGCUGCUGUUGGGGAUUGUGAGUAACCUGACGUUCUGUACGGGUUCACACGCCGACUGCACAAUAACGUGGGGAGAGUUAAUUUAGGCAUAUAAACUAUUAGGAAAUACACGUUGGACUGAUGGAUGGACUCUCUAAGUUCAAAUAUUGCUGAUCUUGUUCAUGUUGAUCUUGUCUCGUGCACGUCCUGUUCAGUUUAACCUGUAUGGGUUACUCUGUCCAAGUUUAUUUCCACCGUAUGAUCUGUCUGGCCAUGUUUACUAUAAUCUGCCUCCACUGCUCAUAAAUAAAGUGUUUCCCUGUACUGAG